GAUGAACGCUGGCGGCGUGCCUAAUACAUGCAAGUCGAGCGAACGGACGAGAAGCUUGCUUUUCUGAUGUUAGCGGCGGACGGGUGGGUAACACGUGGAUAACCUACCUAUAAGACUGGGAUAACUUCGGGAAACCGGAGCUAAUACCGGAUAAUAUUUUGAACCGCAUGGUUCAAAAGUGAAAGACGGUCUUGCUGUCACUUAUAGAUGGAUCCGCGCUGCAUUAGCUAGUUGGUAAGGUAACGGCUUACCAAGGCAACGAUGCAUAGCCGACCUGAGAGGGUGAUCGGCCACACUGGAACUGAGACACGGUCCAGACUCCUACGGGAGGCAGCAGUAGGGAAUCUUCCGCAAUGGGCGAAAGCCUGACGGAGCAACGCCGCGUGAGUGAUGAAGGUCUUCGGAUCGUAAAACUCUGUUAUUAGGGAAGAACAUAUGUGUAAGUAACUGUGCACAUCUUGACGGUACCUAAUCAGAAGGCCACGGCUAACUACGUG
rnacentral:rRNA from 1 species